rnacentral:lncRNA from 1 species
AAGACCAACAACACCAAUGUGCAUUCCAGGCUUAUCGAGUCCAAAAUAUUUCAAAGGACUAUAAGUAGUAAUUCCAGCACAUAACAGGGGAGCAGCAUCCAUCGACAAGUUCUCAGGCCAGCGUACAACAAAGUGCUCAUCAGAUACCAUGAUGUCGGAGUAACCUCCGAAUGUCAGGGUUCCGUCUGAGUUAUAGCCGUUGUAGGUAGGAGUGUUACGAGGACAGUAAUUCUCGAGAUCAGCGCUACAAUUCUCACAUUUGCGACAUGAUCCUACCAGACAUCCAACACCUACUUUGUCACCAACCUUAAAUUUCUCCACCUUGCUACCAACCUCAGUUACAACACCAACAACCUCAUGCCUGUAAUAAUACACUCAAAUUAGUGAUACUACAUGGAGUCUAUACAAAUCCUGAUAAAUUUCAACAUGUUCUAACAACUUAGGAUUUAAGUCGAGAGUCUAUCAGAAACAACCUCUCUAUCUCGAAGUAGAGAUAAGUAGUGGCAGAGCCAGAAUUUUCACUAAGGGGGUGACACUACAUAGAGUCUAUACAAAAACCUGAUAAAUUUCAACAUGUUCUAUCAACUUAGAAUUUAAAUCGAGGGUCUAUCGGAAACAACCUCUCUAUCUCAAAGUAGAGAUAAGUAGUGACAGAGCCCGAAUUUUCACUAAUGGGAUUCGAAAUCGAAAGAAGUAGGCACAUCAACUAGCCGGAGGGGUUAAAGGUAAGUUUAACCAUGUAUAAAUAGUAUAAUUUUCCAUCGAAGGAAGUUCAGGUGAACCCCUAAUCAUAAGGUGGCUCUAUCCUCCCCAAACCUUCUGUGAGAUUACACUAAAUUUAUUAUUGUUGCUAUGAACGCAUGAUGUACUGAGGUAUCAAGAAAUCUAUACAAGCUUAUUGGGAAUUAUUUUCAUGAAAACCUAGGGGAGCGUAAGGGAGUUCAUUAUCGUAAAAUCACCGUAUAUACAUGGUUAAAAUUAUUACUUAUGUAUAUAUAGAAAAAAUUGAAUUCCCUUUGGUUCUUUGUGCUUUUAUUUUUUACGCUUUGAAUCUCGUUAGUGAAAGUUCUGGCUCCACAGGAGCAAAUUAUUGUAUCACUUGCAUUAAAAUCAAAUCAUGAAACAUAAAAUGCCAAUUUCAUCUAACACAAUAUAUGGAAUUUAACAUGCCAUUUGACUAAACAAAAAAGAUCUAAUUAAUUUUUUCACAAAAAAAUUAAAAUAGAUAAGAGUUAAUUACCCAGGCACCAUUGGAUAUUGGCUAUUACCCCAUUCAUUCUUGAGCUGAUGAAGAUCAGAAUGACAAAUUCCACAGUACAUAACUUUAAAUUGCACAUCUUUUUCACCAGUCACCCUGCAUUCAUUAUCCUAUCAUCAAAUUUCAAGAAUUGAAGGUGGCAUCGUUCGGAUUUCGAGAGUCAUACAAUUUAAUUUUAAUUGUAAAUUUGGAUAUGAAAUCCUUAAAUUUUUUGAAACAAAAUUGAUUUAUUUGAAAACUACGUAAAUAAUAGUAAUGGUCAUGACAAUUCAAAAUGUAUAUAUAUAUACAUACAUAUAUAUAUGAAUUAAUUUACUAUCAAAGAGAGAUUUGUUUAAAUUUUAAAAUAAGAAAGAUUUGUUUAAAUUUUGAAAUGCGAAAGGUGUCACAUAAAUUGUGUAACUGAAAAAAUAGCACACCUUCUUGAAAAAUCGAAAGGAGAAAGAACACCAGAAGUGUCUCUAGUUGCCCAACCAAAUGCCUUAAUUGGAUGUUCACUCUCAUAUGAUUUUGCCAUUUUUUCAGUUGAUUUGUUUGGUUUGAAAAUAAAAAUAUUGAUGUGUAGUAUAAUAGAGAAAAAUGUCGAAGAAUUUAUGGAUGAUAUAUAAAAAUGAUUAUGUUAUGAUCCAUAUUUAUAGGAUUUUGAGUGUAUUAUAGGUGAUGUUCGUGAGGUGGAACAAUUAACUAGUUACUUAAACAAAUUGGAUUUUGACUUCUUUUUUUUUGGGUCGAUUGUUGUAGAAUGUUGAGUCCUAAUUUGCAGGACUUUUUAUUUAUUUAUUUAUUUUAAAACACUUCACGUUAUUUUAGUGUCUUUCGAAAAUGAUCUCUUUAAAUUUACGAGAUAAUUGUAUGAUCAACAUACACGCUAUUGUUCCUAGACUUUACUAGUGUGAUUUUGCUGGAUAUGUUGUUGUUGUUGUUGUUGUUGUCACAUUAUUUUACAUCUCUGAUCUAGAAUUUGAAGCUUCUAAAUUUCUAUAACAUUCUCUAAUUUUUAUAAAGUACUCUUUUCGUUGAUGUUCAUUUUUAUUUGUCUAGUUUGAAAAUCAAAAGAUAAGUUGCCGGUUAGUUCUUCAAUAUUUCUAUAAUUAACUAUAAUCAUUUCAAAAUAUUUUUCAAAAUAUUAAAUUUAUUAUUCAAAUUGUGAUAUUGCAAAUUCAUCAUUCUAUUUAUUGUUUUUCAAGAAAUGAGCCAAACCAAUAUUGAACAAAUAUAAAUUGAUGGAAAAGUAUAAUAAUAACUAAAUUCACAAUUAAAUCUAUAUCUAUACUUAUUCUAAAAAUGAGAAAAUCCUUAAUCAAAAAUUUAAUUACUAAAAUAGUCAUUAAAAGUUGAUUGGCAUUUGUACCCUUCAAUUAAACACCAUAUUCUUACACAAACAAUAAUAUUAUACUCUCUCCCCUCGUUUUUACUUGUCAUAAUUUGACUUGGCACAUUCAUUAAGAAAAACAAUUAAUAACAUGAUUAAUUUACCAUAGUACCCCUAUUGAAUGAUGUUUACAUUGUAUGUUGAAGUUAAUUUGGAGAAAAAAUAAUUAAUACAAAGGAUAAAAUAUGAAAAAAAAAAAAAGACGAAGAAGAAGAAGAAGUUGUCUUGAUAUGCCAAAUAUGUUAAGUAAAAAUAAAAAUAUAAUUAGAAAAUUUGUGAUAAGUAAAAACGACCCAAGAAAAUAUUAAAAUAAGAUAGUUAAAUAGAUCCAAACAUGACCGGAUGCAACUCAUUUACUACAUCCAAUUCUAUACGUCUCAUUUGGUUUCAUAUUCCAAUACUUAUUAGUACAGUUUAUAGAAUGCUUAUUUAAUAUUUUGGAGUUUUUCUUCAUAUGCAUGCACAAUGUAUUUACAAUCAAUUAAUUCUAACUAAUUAAUUUUGCUACGUAAUGAUUAUUUUGAACUAAAUUCUUGAACCAUUUGCAUUAAGGAGAUUAAAAUUGGAAUACUAAUGGCUAUUCUCUCUUGCUAUAUAUAUAUAUACAUACAUACAUACAUACAUACAUACAUACUUUGAGUUAUUCUGCCUCACUCCAAGCACUAAGACGUAAUUCGUUAUGAAAGAUAAAAUAAUUAAUAGGAAGGGGAGCCUGAAGUAAUUGGUAAAGUUGUUGUCAUGUGAUCGGGAGGUCACGGGUUCAAGCCUUGAAAACAACGUCUGACAGAAAUGCAAGGUAAGACUGCGUACAAUAGAUCCUUGUGGUCGGACCCUUUCCCGAACCUUGACAGAAAUGCAAGGUAAGGUUGUGUACCAUAGAUCCUUGUGGUCGAAUUCUUCCUCGGACCCUGCGCAUAACGGGAGCUUUAAGCUGCCCUGUUUUAGAUAAAUAAUUAGUAGAUAGUUUCAUCUGUGAAACAUAUCAUUGUUGAUGUUCCUCAUAUUGGGAAAUCUAAUGUCAACCAAGAUAAUGAUGCUAAGGAUCCAAAUGCUCUAUCUCUUCAUGUUUCAUACACUAUUUGGAGUUGAAAAAUCAACAAAUUUUGUUUGAUUUAUUGUUCAAGAAUGCCAAACAUAUGAGUGGUACAAGCUCGUUAGAAAUGGCCUAGCAAUAAUGUUGAGAAAUUGUCUUGGUAAUGAUGUUAAUGUUGAAAAGAGAUAUGAUCUUUGUACUAGCCAAACAUCCCCUUUUCAAAUUGUUUUGCAUCAACUUUAUAGUUUUCAUUUACCCAAGGGUUGUGGCUAGUGGUUCAAUGACUUGGGAUAAGCAUCAUGCGAUAGGUUCGAUUUUCAUCAGAGACAAACAUUAGAUAAUUUCUUCCUAUCGUUUGUAGCCUUGGUGGACAGAGUUACCUGAUACCUGUUGCUGGUGAGAGAUGACAGGUAUCCCAUGGAAAUUGUUGAGGUGCUGUAAGCUAGCUCGAACACCAUGGUUAUAAAAAUAAAUCUUUAUAUUUUUCAUUUGGUGUUGCUUUGCAUAUGUCUUUAUGUUAUAGUUGUUAUUUACUUCAAUUUUGACAAUUUUUUUAAUCAAAUUUGUAUAGUGAUCACAAGGGAUAAACGUCCAAUGCACGUAACGAGAAACUAGUAUUUAUAAAUAUUAGGACUGCGUAUAACUUCACCCAAACUCCACACUAGUAUGAUAUUGUCCGUUUUGGGCCAAGCCCUCACGGAUUUAUUUUUGGACACCUCCCAAAAGGCCUCUUACUAAUGGAGUUGGGUGAGACUUUAAAUAUUGAACAUUCUUUCUGUAUUUCUCCGAUGUGGGAUUGUUUUGCUUUUCAACAAUCCUCCCUUCAAACCAAGACCACAUCACUUGUGACCUCCCCUUCAGUAAUAAUCCAUUUGAUCUCGCUAACCAUCUUGUACCGCCACUACCGAUUAGUGGGACACGCCGCUUGACCACCACUUGUCAAGAAGAUUUUCGACACAAGGUAUCAACCGCAGAUCUCCAACUACUAGGUCACUUCAUAUGAUCUGCUAAAUAUCUUGUACCGCCAUCAUCACCCAACGAGACACACCACCUGACCACCACUCGCCAGGAAGACUUUCGACACAUGGCACCACCUACAGAUCUCCAGUCUUGUUGUCAAACCGGGAGCUUCUCACCUGCAGAUCUCCAGUCUUGUUGUCACACCGAGAACUUCUCACAAAAUGCAGUCCACUACUCCGACACACCCGAACCUUGGCUCUGAUAGCACUUGUUAGGACCGCGUGUAACUUCACCCAAACUCUGCACUAGUAUGAUAUUGUCUGCUUUGGGCUAAGCCCUCACGGAUUUGUUUUUGGGCACCUCACAAAAGACCUCUUACUAAUGGAGUUGGGUGUGUUAUGAUUCGGACAAAAUAAGUAAGCCACAAGUAAAAGAAAAUAAGAAUAACACACAGAUUUACGUGGAAACUUUUGUGGAAAAAACCACCGGCAGAGACAGAGGAGAUUUCACUAUAAUGGAAAGAGAGUACAAUGUGGAGAAGGCUGAAUUUUCUGAAUAAUAAAAUAACCCACUAAAUCACACUUAUAUAUUACGUGCGUACAAAUAGGUCUUAGGCCCAAGAACAUAAAAGUCCAUUAGUAAAAUUCGGGUCACAACUCUAACAAUCUCCACCUUGACACGAAUUCUAAUUCAGAACUCAAAUCCAUUUCAAGACAUAAACUCUCCACCUCUUCCACAAAAGCCCCUAAGGGCACAUCUUAACAACUAACACCAACCAAGUCUAAGCAAUGCUCAAACAUGGCACUUGGUAGUGUCUUGGUCAUCAUAUCAGCAGGAUUAUCAUGCGUACUAAUCUUGCUUACCACAAUAUCACCACGAGCAAUAAUUUCACGCACAAAAUGAUACCGAACAUCGAUGUGCUUUGUCCUCUCAUGAAACAUCUGAUCUUUCGUAAGGAAGAUAGCACUCUGACUGUCUUAAAAGACCAUAGUAAUCUGUAAGUCUUUACUAAGUUUACCAAAUAGACCCUUCAACCAAAUAGCUUCGUUGAAAGCCUCUGUAAUAGCCAUGUACUGUGCCUCAGUAGUUGACAAAGCAACUGUAGUCUCUUAGGUAGCUUUCCAACUAAUAGCACAACCACCAAUGGUGAAACAUAGCCUGUAAGGGACCUCCUUUUAUCAUGAUCUCCUGCAAGAUCAGAAUCAACAUUGUCUCACCCCUUUUUCAACUCCGAAAGAUUAUAUUUUAAGGUUCGUGUCACGCCCCAAAAUCCCAUCGGGCCGGACUGGCACCCGAAGCCGAGAAGGCCCGGGAGAACCCGUUCAAAUACCUGUACUUUCACUUACAUGUCACCAAAAAAAUUGGACAGCACUUCGUUGCAUAUAGAAAGGUCUAAUUACCUGUAUCAGCACAACACGCACAAAUAUAUAUAUAUAAUACUUGGCCGUCGGGGCCACCACAUAUACAAAUAUAACGUUACUAUAUAAACUUCCAUGACUUUACCCUUCCUUAUGUCUACAAAGCCUCUAGGAUAUACAUGACAUAACUAGGGUCGGGACAAACCCCCGCCCACACGUGACUCAUGUACAAUAACAAAACAUAAGGAACCGACUCGGAAAGCUCCGAAGCAAACUGGAGCUCACCAACAAUAGCUGUAUGACCUGGCUCCUACUUGUGCGGUGUAUGAGCUGAGGUACCUGUGCCUGCAGCAUGAAAUGCAGGUCCCCCGUGAGGGACGUCAGUACGAAAUAUGUACUGAGUAUGUAAAGCUGUAAAUAAUCACAUAUGAUAUAGGAGCUCAAUAGAAAUCAGAAACAAGUGAAUAAGUCGUAAUAGGAGUGGACCACACUUACUAGAACUUGUGACAACCUGUACAUUGUAUUUAUUCAAUCACUUUACCUUCGUUCUUAUCGUCUUUGUAAUCAUUACUGUACUGUACUGUGACCAUUAGGCUGCCUCCAGUACAUAUCAACUGGGAUCGACCCAUGCUAGGCUUAUGCCCCUGGGAUACCACCCAUAAACACAUAAAUAGGGAUCGACCCAUGCUAGGCUUAUGCCCCUGGGAUACCACCCGAUAAGAGAGAACUUCCAUCACUUAGUUCAAUUAAUCUUUGAGAUUGUUAUUUCGGUCGCCACCACAUUUUUGAUACUUUGAAACAAUGAUACAUCAAUAGGAACCAAGUAAUAGACCUUCUAUACAAUAACGAUGUAAUAAAGACUCAUUGGUACAUCAACAAUGUGUUUCAGAAUCAUCAAUAUCACAACAAUGAAAUAGGAGCCUUUUGGUAUAUCAAUGAAACAUUUUGACACUUUAUAGGAUGGAAACAACUUCGUUGGUAACGUAGAACAAUACAUGUUUUUGGACAACCUCGGAAUCUUACUUGAUGGAACAUUGGUGUUUUCAUGCCAAAGAACAUUGUUAGAGUAUGCUUUACAUACCUCGUUGUAGAUUCAGCUACCAAUUCAACACAACUUCCCGCCUUUACAAAUCACUUAUCUACAAUGAAAUGUUUGGCAUCUAGUAUUAGCAACCCAACACCACAAUUCUCUUCCAUAAUUCCAUACUACCAAUAUUUGCAAAACAUUCCAAAAACCAACUUGAACAAUAGGUUUAUGUGUGUAUAUAUAUAUAAUCAUCAUUUCAAUACCACAUCAUCAAUACCACAUCAUCACCCCAAAUUCCUUCACAAUUUAACAUAAUCCAACCAUGCACAAGAAUAAUCCAACAUCAUUUCCAAUCAUCUUUCAACAACAAUCAAAUAACAUACUUCUUAUGCUCACAUGCAUAUAUAUAUAUACAUAUCCAUAUAAAUAACACCAACAUAAUUUACAUCCUUACCAAAAAAAAUGGCCCUUUUGAUUUCGAAGUCCUGUUGGCACAAAUAAGGGGUGCUUCUCGAAGCCCUUGAGACGGUGAACACAACUACGGAAUCAAUUUGGAUUUUCUACGGUUGAAUCACAAGAUAAUUGGAGUUGAACUUAGGCUAGGGUUUCUUAUUCUUCAAUGAUUUGGAUGAUAAAUGGUGGAUAUAAGGCUAAGUAUAUGUAUAUAAUGACCAAUUUUCGUCCAUGAGGUGAUGGAAAAUGACCAUAUUGCCCUUAAAAAUUUAAGUAAAUCCGAAUCUGUCCAUGGUGGACUGUUUUGAUAGGCUAAAGUAAAUCGGCCAUAACUCUUUGCUCCGAUAUCGGAUUUGGGUGAAAUUGGUAUCGUUAGAAAGAUAAUUCAAAGGUAUUUCAUUUAAUAUAAAUUAAUCCACCCAGUUCGUCCUGUACAAGUAGUUAUGAUCGUUUGAAGUUGACCCUAAAAAUCUGUUUUGAGAGGCUGAAGUAAAACGAGUAUAACUCCUUACUCAGAUGUUGGAUUUGGAUGAAACCAAUUUCAUUGGAAAGAAGACUCAAAGAUCUUUCUUUUGAUAUAUGGUAGCUCAACCAGUUCAUUAUAUUGAGGGAGUUAUGAUCGUUCAAAGUUGACCCAAAAAACUGGCAGGCCUCAGUAGUUUCCUGCACAUUUUACUGUUCACAUCCCGGCCACCGUUUUAAAGUUUCGAACGAGCUCGCUUAUAUCCGAAACUUAUCCGUUUUUGGAAAUCUUUAUAUCGUUGGAAAGCUUAUUCAAUAACCUUCGUAUGGAACCAUCGACGGGAAAAUUCCGAUAUAAAUAAAGUCGAUUCCUAUACACCUAUAAUCAAACUAUACACUUGAAACCAUCUCAAAAUAAUCAAUACUCAUACUUAAACUCAUAUAUACCUAACUUAGGAUCAAUACAUAUACCCCAACACAUAUAACAAUGACUAAUGCACGUAAUUAAGUACGGGGUGUUACAUCCUUCCCCCCUUAAGGACAUUCGUCCUCGAAUGUGAAUGUAGUUAUUUAGCCGAAACAAGUUCAAGUCCACCAUUAACAUUCACAUCAUCACAUAAAUACUAUGCAUAUAUAAACAAAAACUUACUUGUUAAUGUUCUAACUCCGUUUCUUGAACUUCCUCUUCAUCUUUGAACAAAUGAGGGUACUUAGAUUUCAUUGCUUCCUCAGCUUCCCAUGUAAUCUCUUCCCUUUGUUGAUUUCUCCAAAGUACCUUUACUGAUGCCAUUUCUUUGUUCCUUAACUUUUUAACUUGGCGAUCUAGAAUAGCAACCGGUACCUCUUCAUAAGUAAGAUCCUCUGUGACCUGUACAUCUUCUAUAGGAGUGAUACGAGAGGGGUCACCUAUGCAUUUUCGAAGCAUUGACACAUGAAACACUGGAUGAACCAUUGAAAGUUCCUGGGGUAGCUCUAAUUCAUAUGCAACUUGUCCGACCCUCUUGGUAAUCUUAUAUGGCCCUAUGUAACGUGGGCUUAGUUUCCCUUUUUUACCAAAUCUCAUAACCCCUUUCAUUGGUGAUACCUUUAAAAAUACCCAAUCUCCAAUAGAGAAUUCCAGCCCUCUUCUCCGAAUAUCUGCAUAUGAUUUAUGACGACUUUGGGCUGUUUUUAGCCGUUGUUGUAUCACCUUGACUUUUUCUAUGGCUUGAUACACAAGAUCCGGUCCGAACAUAAGAGUUUCACCCGCUUCGAACCAUCCUAUUGGUGAUCUACACUUUCUCCCAUAUAAAGCUUCAUAUGGUGCCAUUUUGAUACUUGAAUGAUAGCUAUUAUUGUAGGCAAACUCAAUAAGAGGUAAAUGAUCAUCCCAGCUGCCUUUAAAAUCUAUAACACAUGCUCGUAGCAUAUCUUCAAGUGUUUGAAUGGUGCGCUCUGCUUGUCCAUCCGUCUGAGGGUGAAAAGCUGUACUCAGAUUCACUUGUGUUCCCAAACCCCGUUGGAAAGACUUCCAAAAGUUUGCAGUAAAUUGAGUUCCCCGAUCCGAUAUAAUAGAAGUUGGCACUCCAUGUAAUCGGACUAUUUCUUUAACAUACAGCUUCGAAUAUUCUUCAACUGUGUAAGUGGUCUUAACGGGUAAGAAAUGUGCGGAUUUAGUAAGCCUAUCCACAAUCACCCAUAUAGAAUCAAAUUUUCGAGCUGUACGAGGCAAACCUGUAACAAAAUCCAUGUUGAUCAUGUCCCACUUCCAAAUUGGAAGAUCUAUGCAUUGCAUAUAGCCUCCGGGUUUUUGGUGCUCAACUUUAACUCUUUGACAAUUUGGACAUUCAGCUACAAAUUCUGCAAUGCUCUUCUUCAUGUCAUUCCACCAAUACAUAUCUUUCAAAUCUUGAUACAUUUUGGUUGAUCCUGGAUGAAUGGAAUACCUUGAAAAAUGUGCCUCUGUCAUAAUCUUCUUUCUUAGCCCGUCUAUAUCCGGCACACACAAUCGGUUUUGGCACUGAAGUACUCCUUCUCGCGUAAGCUCAAAUGCCUUGGUCGCACCACUCUGAACGUUCUCCUUAAGAUGUAAUAAAAUAGGAUCUGCAUAUUGCUUCUCUUUCACUUCAGCUACUAAUGAAGAUUCCGCAGCAUUAUGUACGAUAAGCUCUUUAUUCGGAGUUUCAAGAAGGCGAACUCCCAAACUAGCUAACUGGUGAAGAUCUUUAACCAUCCCUUGCCUUUCUAUAGGCGCCAUCAUAGCCUUACGACUUAACGCAUCAGCUACCACAUUUGCUUUCCCUGGAUGGUACAAGAUAUCAACAUCAUAGUCCUUUAAUAGUUCAAGCCAUCUCCGCUGCCUUAAAUUUAGAUCCUUCUGAUUAAAAAUAUAUUGCAAGCUCUUAUGGUCAGUAUAUAUAUCAACGUGAACCCCAUAUAAGUAGUGGCGCCAUAUCUUUAAAGCAAAAAUAACCGCUGCCAGCUCAAGAUCGUGUGUAGGAUAAUUUUUCUCAUGUGGCCGUAAUUGUCUAGAAGCAUAUGCUAUUACCUUACCAUGCUGCAUCAAUACACAUCCUAAACCAAUUCUGGAAGCAUCACAAUACACUGUAUACCCUUCGGUGCCUUCUGGUAGUACCAACACGGGUGUAGAAAUCAACUUGUUCUUUAAAUCUUGAAAACUCUUCUCACAGGCAUCAUUCCAUUGGAAUUUGGAUGCUUUAUGGGUUAGCUUGGUUAAGGGUGCUGAAAUGGAAGAAAAGUCUUUGACAAACCUUCUAUAAUAACCGGCCAACCCAAGAAAACUACGAAUCUCCGUAGGCGUUGUGGGCCUUGGCCAGUUCUUCACAGCCUCUAUCUUUUGAGCAUCAACCUUUAUCCCUUCACUAGAUACAAUAUGACCCAAAAAUGCCACCGACUUUAACCAAAACUCACAUUUAGAGAACUUUGCAUAAAGCUUACAAUCACGAAGAGUCUGCAAUGCCUGUCGUAAGUGAUUGGCAUGGUCCUCUUCUGAUCUAGAAUAAACUAGAAUAUCAUCUAUAAAAACUAUCACAAAUACAUCCAGGAAUGGCUUAAAAACCCUAUUCAUCAAAUCCAUAAAAGCUGCGGGUGCAUUUGUUAGCCCAAAUGACAUAACUAGAAACUCAUAAUGACCAUACCUUGUUCGGAAAGCUGUUUUGGGUAUAUCUUUUUCUUUGACCCUCACUUGGUGGUAACCUGACCUCAAAUCAAUCUUAGAAAAGCACUUGGCGCCCUGUAACUGAUCAAAUAAAUCAUCAAUUCUUGGGAGAGGAUAUUUAUUCUUAAUAGUCACCUUAUUCAAUUGCCGAUAAUCAAUACACAUCCUCAGCGAGCCAUCCUUUUUGCGUACAAAUAACACUGGUGCUCCCCAAGGGGAAAUACUAGGCCUAAUGAACCCCUUUUCUAGCAAAUCUUUCAAUUGCUCUUUCAAUUCUCGUAAUUCUGCUGGGGCCAUUCUAUACGGAGGAAUGGAGAUUGGUUGGGUGCCUGGUAUUACAUCAAUACCAAACUCUACUUCUCGUUCAGGAGGCAAACCUGGAAGAUCUUCAGGAAAUACAUCAGAAAAUUCAUUUACCACCGGAACAGCGUGAAGAGUUGGUGGCUCCGCUUCUGUAUCCCUUACUCUAACUAAAUGAUAUAUAUAUCCCUUGGAAAUCAUUCUUCUCGCCUUAAAAUAAGAAAUAAAUCUACCUCUUGGCACGCUAAUUUCACCUUUCCAUUCAAGGACUGAUUCAUUUGGAAAAUGGAAAUAUACCUUUUUCGUGCAGCAAUCAAUUGUGGCAUAACAAGACGCCAACCAGUCCAUACCCAUUAUAACAUCAAAAUCUACCAUUUCUAACUCCACAAGAUCAGCCAUCGUAUCACGACCACAAACAGUUACUAUGCAGUUUCGAUAAACCCUUCUAGCUAUAAUAGAUUCCCCGACCGGUGUGGACACUUCAAAUGGCUUAACUAACAGUUCGGGUAUUCUUUCGAACUUUCCAGCAACCAAUGGAGUAACAUAAGAUAAUGUAGAACCGGGAUCAAUUAAGGCAUAUAAAUUGAAUGAAAAUAUAGCCAACAUACCCGUAACCACAUCUGGAGAAGCCUCUAAAUUCUGUCGAUCUGCUAGAGCAUACGUACGAUUUUGAGCCCCGCUAGAACUCGUGGCUCCUCUAUCACCUCUAACACGACCCAUUGGCUGUGCACCCCUUCCUGAAUAAGGCAUCGAUGAUGAUGAUGCAACAAAUGACCCCGUAGGUCGUGCCAUACCCCCUAUGUCCCUUCGUGGGCAUUCCCUCAUCAUAUGCCCCGACAUACCGCACCAAAAGCAAACAUUGGUCCCCAGCCGACAUGCGCCCAAAUGAUACCUUCCACAUUUAUUGCAUGGCUCUCGAGGAGGUCUUGAUUGGCUCAUAUUCCCUUGACCUUGGUACCCCACUGUCCGCGAACUCUGACUCUCACUUCUGUGCCCAAAUUGAUUUCCUCUGAACCCUUGGAACUGUGGUGGGGCACUAGCUGUAGAAUAAGAGGAUAAUGGCCUAGGUGGUCUAGCAGAAAACUGUGGUCUGAACCCUCUUUCGAAUGCCAUGAACUGCCCUGUAGAUCUGGCCCUCUUGGAAUAUCCUCUUUCUGAUUCCUGUGUUCUUCUCCUCUGCCUCUGAUCUUCCAUUUUUUGUGCAAAAGCUUGGAUUCUCGCUAUGUCCAUAUCUUUGUUCAAAGCAGCAAUAGUACAAUCUCUAACCAGAUAUGGAUCUAGCCUAUCCACAUAUUGAUGAACUCUGUCAACCAUAGUAGCUACAACAUUAGGAGCAUAUCUCGACAAGGAAUUAAAUCGAAGACUGUACUCCCUCACGCUCAUAUUCCCCUGACGAAGAUUUAAAAACUGAUCUGCACGGGCCUGACGAAUCUCGAAUGGAAGAUAAUGAUCAAGAAAUGCCUCUUUGAACUCCUUCCAAGUAGCUGGGGGUGCAUCAAUACCCCUAGAUCGUUUCCAGUCCUCAUACCAAUAUAUAGCCUCCCCUUUAAAUCUAUACGCCGCUAACUCCACUGUCUCUCUACCCGUUACAUGCAUAACAUCCAAGGCCCUUUGAAUUUGAUCGAUAAAGUCCUGUGGGUCCUCGUUAAGAUCUGAUCCAGUAAAAGUGGGAGGAUCCAUCUUAAGAAAAUCCUGUGUUCGAAGGCUAGCCGCCCUAUCUAUACCACUAGGACCUGCAGUAGGAAUGGCUUGCCCUUGAGCUUGCCCAGCAACUAUACGAGUCAAAAGUUGCACUGCAUUUCUAAGAUCUUGAUCAACAACAUUAAUAGGUGGCUCUGCGGAUAUAGUUCUCCUCCCCCUUAUUUCUUCCGGACUGGAGGAAGUUUCUGAUGCAUGCUCAGCUGGAGCCUCACUUUGAUUAGCUGGUAUAGUGGGUGACUUACUAGUCCCCUCUCCGGCAGCCACAUCUACUUGCUUACCGGUAUUCUUGCUUCUGGUAACCGGCAUCAUUACUAUAAUAAGAGAAACAAACUGAUUCAGUGGUCAACUAUGACUUCAUAUACAAUAUAAGCUCUAUCGCACGAUCUAAGACAUGAAGAAAAGAAACAAUUCCUAAAUGUCCAUAGCCUCCUGUUUAUAGAUGUGGUGCACAACACACCGAUAAACAAGACCCUACGUAGACACGGCUUUGUAGACUCACUAGGACGAACCUCUCUGAUACCACUUUUGUCACGCCCCAAAAUCCCAUCGGGCCGGACUGGCACCCGAAGCCGAGAAGGCCCGGGAGAACCCGUUCAAAUACCUGUACUUUCACUUACAUGUCACCAAAAAAAUUGGACAGCACUUCGUUGCAUAUAGAAAGGUCUAAUUACCUGUAUCAGCACAACACGCACAAAUAUAUAUAUAUAAUACUUGGCCGUCGGGGCCACCACAUAUACAAAUAUAACGUUACUAUAUAAACUUCCAUGACUUUACCCUUCCUUAUGUCUACAAAGCCUCUAGGAUAUACAUGACAUAACUAGGGUCGGGACAAACCCCCGCCCACACGUGACUCAUGUACAAUAACAAAACAUAAGGAACCGACUCGGAAAGCUCCGAAGCAAACUGGAGCUCACCAACAAUAGCUGUAUGACCUGGCUCCUACUUGUGCGGUGUAUGAGUUGAGGUACCUGUGCCUGCAGCAUGAAAUGCAGGUCCCCCGUGAGGGACGUCAGUACGAAAUAUGUACUGAGUAUGUAAAGCUGUAAAUAAUCACAUAUGAUAUAGGAGCUCAAUAGAAAUCAGAAACAAGUGAAUAAGUCGUAAUAGGAGUGGACCACACUUACUAGAACUUGUGACAACCUGUACAUUGUAUUUAUUCAAUCACUUUACCUUCGUUCUUAUCGUCUUUGUAAUCAUUACUGUACUGUACUGUGACCAUUAGGAUGCCUCCAGUACAUAUCAACUGGGAUCGACCCAUGCUAGGCUUAUGCCCCUGGGAUACCACCCAUAAACACAUGAAAUAGGGAUCGACCCAUGCUAGGCUUAUGCCCCUGGGAUACCACCCGAUAAGAGAGAACUUUCAUCACUUAGUUCAAUUAAUCUUUGAGAUUGUUAUUUCGGUCGUCACCACAUUUUUGAUACCUUGAAACAAUGAUACAUCAAUAGGAACCAAGUAAUAGACCUUCUAUACAAUAACGAUGUAAUAAGGACUCAUUGGUACAUCAACAAUAUGUUUCAGAAUCAUCAAUAUCACAACAAUGAAAUAAGAGCCUUUUGGUAUAUCAAUGAACAUUUUGACACUUUAUAGGAUGGAAACAACUUCGUUGGUAACGUAGAACAAUACAUGUUUUUGGACAACCUCGGAAUCUUACUUGAUGGAACAUUGGUGUUUUCAUGCCAAAGAACAUUGUUAGAGUAUGCUUUACAUACCUCGUUGUAGAUUCAGCUACCAAUUCAACACAACUUCCCGCCUUUACAAAUCACUUAUCUACAAUGAAAUGUUUGGCAUCUAGUAUUAGCAACCCAACACCACAAUUCUCUUCCAUAAUUCCAUACUACCAAUAUUUGCAAAACAUUCCAAAAACCAACUUGAACAAUAGGUUUAUGUGUGUAUAUGUAUAUAAUCAUCAUCUCAAUACCACAUCAUCAAUACCACAUCAUCACCCCAAAUUCCUUCACAAUUUAACAUAAUCCAACCAUGCACAAGAAUAAUCCAACAUCAUUUCCAAUCAUCUUUCAACAACAAUCAAAUAACAUACUUCUUAUGCUCACAUGCAUAUAUAUAUAUAUAUACAUAUCCAUAUAAAUAACACCAACAUAAUUUACAUCCUUACCAAAAAAAAUGGCCCUUUUGAUUUCGAAGUCCUGUUGGCACAAAUAAGGGGUGCUUCUCGAAGCCCUUGAGACGGUGAACACAACUACGGAAUCAAUUUGGAUUUUCUACGGUUGAAUCACAAGAUAAUUGGAGUUGAACUUAGGCUAGGGUUUCUUAUUCUUCAAUGAUUUGGAUGAUAAAUGGUGGAUAUAAGGCUAAGUAUAUGUAUAUAAUGACCAAUUUUCGUCCAUGAGGUGAUGGAAAAUGACCAUAUUGCCCUUAAAAAUUUAAGUAAAUCCGAAUCUGUCCAUGGUGGACUGUUUUGAUAGGCUAAAGUAAAUCGGCCAUAACUCUUUGCUCCGAUAUCGGAUUUGGGUGAAAUUGGUAUCGUUAGAAAGAUAAUUCAAAGGUAUUUCAUUUAAUAUAAAUUAAUCCACCCAGUUCGUCCUGUACAAGUAGUUAUGAUCGUUUGAAGUUGACCCUAAAAAUCUGUUUUGAGAGGCUGAAGUAAAACGAGUAUAACUCCUUACUCAGAUGUUGGAUUUGGAUGAAACCAAUUUCAUUGGAAAGAAGACUCAAAGAUCUUUCUUUUGAUAUAUGGUAGCUCAACCAGUUCAUUAUAUUGAGGGAGUUAUGAUCGUUCAAAGUUGACCCAAAAAACUGGCAGGCCUCAGUAGUUUCCUGCACAUUUUACUGUUCACAUCCCGGCCACCGUUUUAAAGUUUCGAACGAGCUCGCUUAUAUCCGAAACUUAUCCGUUUUUGGAAAUCUUUAUAUCGUUGGAAAGCUUAUUCAAUAACCUUCGUAUGGAACCAUCGACGGGAAAAUUCCGAUAUAAAUAAAGUCGAUUCCUAUACACCUAUAAUCAAACUAUACACUUGAAACCAUCUCAAAAUAAUCAAUACUCAUACUUAAACUCAUAUAUACCUAACUUAGGAUCAAUACAUAUACCCCAACACAUAUAACAAUGACUAAUGCACGUAAUUAAGUACGGGGUGUUACAGUUCGAAAGGAUUUUUAUUAUUAAAAUGACAAAAUGAAGAUUUGUUUUGAAAAAAAAAGAACUUUUUACAUUCAAAACUCAGAGUCGCCACUUGACAUAAUCCGGUGUGCCAAGUCACCUUUGGAAAAUCCUUUUAAAAAUGAUUUGACUCUUUAAGAUUGGUUUGCGAACAGAGAUUUCGGCUAAGGAAUUCUGUUGACCGAGGGGAAGUGUUAGGCACCCCUCGAUCCCAUGGUUUGACCAGGUCGCUUGGUGAAACGUAUCGGCUAAUUUAACAUUACAAAUGUAUAAACCACACAAAACACAUAAAACAAUCAAUCAAACACACAAAACAAAAUAAAUCCAAAAUAUAAUGUUCAGUCCAAUUAUAUAGUCCAAAAAUAAAAAAAAUGCGAAAAAUAAAUCCUAUCCUAACCUACACUAACCCCGAACUAUGCUCCCGUGCUUUACCCGAUGCCUCGGGCCUUCGUCACGAACGUCCUCCAAGUACAAAAUACUUUUGGGCAUUCUCUGGCAAAUAGACACAAAUCCUCGGGGCAUUCCCCGGCCAAAUGGUACAUUUUGAUCCAAAAGCAACGAAACCAGGACAUUCAAUGCAUAUUUCAAGCAUUCGAUAUUCCACAAUUCCUAAAACUUUGUCUACCCCUUAUCGUUUGCCUACUCAUUUCGAUUUGUCACAAUUCCAACACAUUCAACAUAAUCAAUGAUCUAAAUUUAAUAUGAUUUCACUUUAUCGCAAUUAACCCCUCCCCGAAUUUCUUUUAACACAUCAAAUUUAGCAUGAAAAGUGGUUAUCCACCAAUAUCAACAUCAAACUUACACCACAAAAUCGAUAAUUCACAAUGAACAAACACCAAAUAAAAUCUCCCGACAAAUAGAAUAACAAACCAACCCAAUAUCCAGAAUCGCAUAAAAAUUAAAAAAAUAAAGAGUUGAGAAAUGGACCUCAAUAAGUUGAAUAUGAUUUUUGUGGCAAUGAGCUGAUCGGAACCGUCUAAAUCCUCAACAACAAACUCACAACUCGAACAGAACCAAACUCGAUAUUAAAAAAAAUAAUGAAAUUCUGCGACCUAAAGAUUUGAAAUUGAGGGAAAACAUCAAAACACGAAUAAAACCCACUUGACUCACCGGAAUCGACGAGGGUCGUCUUCUUCGCAAAACUUCAUUGGAGUUUGGCGGACCAAACAGUGAAAAAUCGAAUGAAUUAGUGGAAUUUCUAGUCGGGGGAUGGGUUUCAGUUGAUUUUUAUGGAUUUUUAGGGUGAAAUCGAAGCGGAUGAAGUGGCUUCCACGAAGAGCUGCCGAGAAAUUUGUCUCCGAUCAGUUUUCUCUCUCGAACCCUCUGUUUCUCCUAUUCUCCUUACUGCUUUCUCAUUUGUCUUCUCUUUCUCGGUUCUUCCUCGAUUUCACUAUCCCCGUCUCUUUUAAAUCUCUCACUCUCCCAUGGUGUGUUUUCUCGUGAAGGUGAGGGUAUCUACUGUGUUGUUGUCAAAAAAAAGAAAGAUGAUGGUCCUCUCUAUGCGUGCUCUGUUUCUGAGAAAAAAAAUGGAAGUCCCCCUUUUCCCCUUUUAGAAUUUUCCUUUUAUAUUUGUUAUUUGGGUUUUCUUUUUCUUUAUUUAUUAUCCUAUGUGGAAGCAUAUAAUUGGUAGCUUGUGGGAGUAAGUGUGUGGCAUGUGGAAAAGUUAGUGUGGUAUGUAGAAAGAUGAGGGUGGCAUGUGGAAAAAUGAGUAGGGCGUGUGCCUUUUGCAUGUAUCCAAUGAAAAAUAGAAAGUGAGGUAUUGAAGUGGCAUAGUGAGGUGGCAAAGAUGCUAUGUAUUUAAUUAUUUUCAAUUCUUUUUUUUUGGGGAGAAAUUAUCAAGUAAACAAAAGUAUGUAAGGUGAAUAAAAAUAAAAAUAAAAAUUUUAAAAAAAUGAUUAAAAUAUUUUCGAAAAAGGACAAAAUUACGUGUCUACAUCAUGCCCCCUUUGAAUGUAAAUACAUGGUGUUUUCAUACAAAGCAGUAGAUAACUAGACAGAAUUUUAUCCUUACCUAUAUUCAAAAGCACGGAGCACGAGGAAGGAGGACAACCAGAUCUUGGCUUAGGACAUCAUACCUACCCAAGUUAUGAGGGAAUCGAGUGACAGUUAUCUUAAAGGAUUGGAAGGAGAUGGACUAUGCCGAGUUGAAGAGUCGAGUGAGGUCCCAUCGAGGUCCGUUCCGUGGCUCUGUUAUUACAUAAAAAAAAUUACAAGUUAAAAACAUAAAUGAAAUUACAAAAUCCUAUCUAUGCAGCUUCUGUUGGACUCUUGACUUGAGUUUCAUCACCUGAUUCUUCAGGUAGGCUCCUUGUCACGACCCGAACCGGAGCCCUGGCCGUGACUAGUAUUCCGAACCAUCAAGGCCCAAAACACCCCUUAUCUAUCUAGUAAUCAUGCACAUGACAUAUAUGAAAAAAAAUGCGGAAGAUACACUAUAAACAGAAACAUGGUCAAGAAUCAUAUGAAAACAAUAAUGGGGAAUAAUGUUCCACAAUCUUAAUCAACAUCUCUAUAACGUCUGCGAAAUCUCUACUGCAUGACUGAAAUAAAUAUCUAUCUGAAAACUGGAACAAGGCCCCUAGUAGACCCAAAACUAAUAAAUGAUAAAUGAAACUGCCAGAUAUCAGGCCUUCCGAAAUAUAGAAGGCUCACCAAGUGACUCUGCGAAUCUGUCUGAGGAAAUCUACUGAUUUUCUGAACCCCUAGACUGUCCCUCUGAACCUGGUAAGGAAGGAGGUCAAUAAAAAAGUAUUGGUAUGCAGAGAUAUCAAAACAAAACAUAAUAUUUUUACAAAAUAUAGUUGAGAGCCAUUAUAAAGCAGUUUCAUAUCAAAUCAUUUGAUAACACAUGGGCAUAAUGUAAUUGUUUUCAACAAUAAUGCAAUGCAGCCGAGCUAGGUGGAAUACCCUACAUAUCACAUUUACACCAAUUUUCAAACCUUGGUUGCCGCCGAGAUUAGAGUAUAAGUGAGGGAAAGACACACAAGAUCACACAACAGGGUGUCUCGACCCAAUGGUAGUGCACAAGAUCACAAAGCAGGGCUCCUAACCAUAGUCCCAAUUUGGGAAUGACAUAAAGUCAGGUACGCAAGAUCACAAAGCAUGGUACCAAGUUCCCAUAUCGGUAAACACGAUUUUCAGUGAUGAGUCCUUACACUCAAACGCCUUCUUCGGGAAUCCACCUAUCUUAUGUAAAAUCAAUGCAUUCAAAUUUCAUCUGAUUCAAAAUCACAUAUCAUAUUCUGUAGGGUAUCGUCAUCCCCGACUUGCAAGCCAUUAAUAUCACAUCAUUCUUCUCACUCAACCAUUGUAUUCAACAUGUUUCAACACAAAUAGCCCUCUCGUUUUAAGUCAAAAUCAUAUCAAUUCUCAAAACAUUUCAUGUCAUGCUUUUCAAGAUGUUUUCAAACAAUUUACAUCAUAUGAACAUUUAAAACAAAUUCACAUCAAGAGAGGGAUUCCAUAUCAUUCAUUCUCUCAAGUUAACAUCUUUUUGGAAUACAUGCACAUGCAUAUAUCAUAUAUCAAAUCACUUUGGAAUUAGGCCUAAAGACCAAAUCAAUAUCAUAAAGAUGCUUGAAACAUGUUUAUAUUCAUAAUUUCAAAACCCCCAUUUUUAAAACAUGAAUUUUUAAGACCAUGAGAUUUUUGAGAUAACCCCACGUAUCUCUAUAUGCGAAUAUGAUAGGUGCUUCUUGAAGCCUACAUUGCGGGGAUUCCAAAUCUUCAAUUUAUUUUAAAAACACAUGGUUGAAUCUUGAGUUAUUGGAGUUUUUAUUUUGAAACCCUAAGGGGAGUUCUUGAGCAAUUUUGAUGAAUGAAGGUGUAUUUUGGGGUCUUUGGGAACUUAAUUUCGUGUUUAUGGCUGAAUAAGGGUGAGAAAAGGACCAUUUUGCCCCCAAAACGGAGUGUUUUAGUCACUUGAAACCAUUACAUAGCCGCCGCCCAUGCUAUUGCCUAUAUUUACAUAGGCGCCGCCUAUGCUAUCGGCUAUGCUUUCCAGUGGCCAUGUGCGAUUGGUUAGGCGACGCAUACUACUUUGAAAGGCCAUAACUUCUUGCUCGGGUGUCGGAUUUUAGCAAAAUUGGUAUCGUUGGAAAGAUAACUUGAAAACCUAUCAUUUUAAACAUAGUAGGCUCUCUAAUUCAACAUAUACAAAGAGUCAUGGUUGAUAGAAGUUGACACAAAUUAUAAUGUCCACUUAAACUUAAUCGAUCGAAGUAGUUUUCAACUCGUCCUUGAGUCAAAGGACCUCUAUGGUCUUAAUUCAAGCUUGAAUGGAUUCACAUACUAUGCAAAUAAUUAACAUGCCAUAUUGGCAUAGGAUUUAUGGCUUCGGUAUUAUCAACGCAUCGGAAUCAUGGUCUAUAUUGUAGCCCAAAAUGCGGGGCAUUACACUCCUGAUUUGAAAUUUCUUCAACUUGUUGCUUGGUUUUCAAUUCCAUCACCCUGUUCUCCAGGAGGGAUCCUGACUUGCUUUUUUUUAUCUGUUGACUUUCAUUUUCUUCACUUUGUUACCUGACUUUCAACUUCUUCACCUUGUUGCUUGACUUUCAAUUUCUUUACCUUGCUGCUUGACUUUCCAUUUAUCCACCCAGUGCUUCGGGCGGGCUCCUUAAAUCACAUCAAAACUAGAAAAAAAAUUAUCCCAAAUAAAACUAUUGUAAAGAGAAAAUCAUUUUCCCAAAAAGUAAAGUUUCAAAACAGAUAUUAAUUUUUUUUGCCCCAGUUUACCAUCAGAAGACUUUUGAGAAAGUCAGAUCAUACCUACUUGCAUGUUGCAAUAAUGAAUCAAGACUCUUACCAAGAAAUACAUCUCUUGAGAGUAAAAUUGAAUGAACAAGACUAUAAAGUGCAUCUCCUAAGAAUUAAAGUGAGAAAUUCUGACUCGAAAGUGUGUCUUCUAGAGAUAGAAGUUUAAAUUAAAUAGUGUGUCACCUGACAAAUGAAAACUAAUAAGGAAGUGUGUUUCAUAAGGAUUAAGUGCAAUGACUCGACUAGAAAGUGCAUUUUCUAAAAAUCAAGGAGAAUGACUUGACUAAAAGGUAUGCCUUAUAGGAAUCAAGGGGGAUGACUCGACUAAAAGAUACGUCUUUAGGGGUCAAGGAAAAUGACUCGACUAAAAGGUAUAUCUUAUAGGAAUCAAAGGGAGAUGACUCGACUAAAAGAUAUGUCUCAUAGGAAUCAAGGGGGAUGACUCGACUAAAGGGUACGUCUUAUAGGAAUCAAGGGGAAUGAAUUAACUAAAAGGUACGUCUUAUAGGAAUCAAGGGGGAUAACUCAAAUAAAAGGUACGUCUUAUAGGAAUCAAGGGGGAUGACUCGACUAAAAGGUACAUCUUAUAGGAAUCAAGGGGGAUGACUCGACUAAAAGGUACGUCUUCUAGAAAUCAGGGGGAAUGACUUGACUAAAAGGUACAUCUUCUAGAGGUCAAGGGAAAUGACUCGACUAAAAGGUACGUCUUCUAGGAAUCAAUACUUAAGUUAGGAAGUGCAUUACCUAAGAAGCAAAAUUCGAAUUACCCAAUCAAAAAAGUAUGUCUCCUUACCAAUGUUGUUUGAAUUAUCUAAACAAGGAAGUGCGUCUCCUAGAGAUCUUGAAUUAUGAGUUUUACCAUGGUUUUGAUUACCAAACCUAUGCAGCACCCUUGCCUCUUGCAUAUGUUGAGGUGAGAAAUUACGACCUUUGAUGUUUAGGCUCUGAAAUCCUUAAUAUGAAUGCAACAUGUGUUCCUGUUACAUACAAAGAAAAUUUGUGAGUUUAAAAACAUGGUGGCUAGUUUGUAGCUUUGGCUUUCGAGGAAAUUGAUCCUGCCCCCGUCACAUUUAGCUUUGCUUCCAACCAUUAGCAUAUGUCAUUGACUUGCUGUAUCAUUGACCUAAACUCAGCUUAUUAAGAGUGACUCUGAAACAAACACAGUAUUUCUGCUUUGUCGUGUUUCUCAGAUAAACCCUUUGAACCUUGGUAUUUUCAUGAGUUCCCAAACUUGUCUGUUGACACAAUUCUUGCAAGCCUAUUUUGGCUCACCAUUAUGUCUCUUUCAUGUGCUGACCCUUUGUCUUGCUUUGUACAAUUGAAGAAGCUGGUAACCAAUUUUGAAAUCUUUUCUCACUUAUUUUUGACAUGGACUUGACUCAUAGACAAGAAAAUGAAAUAGAAUGACAAUUUUUAUUUGGAUAACUGACUCAAGAAAGAUAAACAAAAAUAAAGAGAAGAAAGAAAAGACAAUGAAUGUCCUCAUUUGAAACAAAGAAAUGACAAAUUCAUCAAAAAAAAUGACAGUCACCUCUAAUGUAUUUUGGAUUAAGCAGCCUGAUCUUUUCAUCCAAACUUUCUACCAAUUGUUGUUGAGUUAACGACCUUGAAACUGAGUUACUUUCUUAGGUCAAUUGCAUUUACGACCUCAUUCGGCUAGUUCCGCCUUGAAGGGUUUUCUCCAACAAACUUCUCUUAUUUUCUUUUCCUCAGUCUACUAUUACCUUGUGGUGUCUGUAAGGGUUUUCACUGAUGAAACUCUCUUAUCUUUGUUUUCUGUCAACUCACAGUCGUCUUGCGGUGAUCGUGAGAGUUUUUACCACUAAGACUCUCUCCUUUUUAUCUCUCUCAACCUACUGUCUCCUUGUGGUACCCGUGAGGGUUUUCACCAAUAAGACUCUCUCAUUUUUAUUUCUCUCCUGACUUCAUGAGGAAGAUGAGUAGUUCCCAAAAUGUGUCAUCACAUCCAUUGCAUGCUUAGCCUUAACAUUCUUAAAUAUUGAUCCGAAGGUCUUUCUUUGGUUGUAACUUGGCUUUUGGAUAGGGUUGGAAAGAAAGGAUGGCAUGGGGCCUAAAUGAUACUAAAAGUAGGGUAGGACUUACAACUUUUGGAAUCGACUCAAACAAUGAGGAUUAACUCAUGCCCCAGUUUCUUUUGAUUGGGAAAUUCUAAAUUUUUUAUUUGGCUGGACCGAGCCUGGAGUAGGGAAGCCUACGUAUCUCACCCCCGAGAGAGGAGAAUCAGGUCAUACAUAGUUCUGGCAGCUUGUUCUUUUGCUUGAUUCUAAUUUUUUUUCUUUUGUUGACUCUUUUUCUCUUUGGGACUUUUCUGACUUUAUUUUUCUCGAUGCUCUUCUUUUUUUCUUUUUUUUUUAAACUUUUCUGGCUCUACUGUCUUGCUCGACACCUUUUCUUUUGAGAUUUGUUGACUCUAUAUUGAUUCCAAAAGAGGUGUAUGAAAGAAAAUAAAACUAAGGCUCAAAGGGGAUAAACAAAUGAUGACACAAUGUUUGGAUAACAGAAUAAAAUGCCUUCGUCAUAUCAAUCUUUGAAAAUGCAAGUACAUAACAUGCAAUUUUAAAGUUGGAGAUGAAGAUCAUGUGCGGCAUCUUUUAAAACAUUAACUUUGACUGAGUCUGUGCGUCACUACUUCUUUUGCGCUUUUCUAGCAUACAAAUACACUUUUGUUGUACAUUUCUUACAUUGAAUGAUUCAUGAUUCCGUGAAGCUGAUUUUCUUUCUGUUCCUCUUGAUAUAGGAUCACGCAUCUACUGUUUGACCUAAUUGAGGCAUGCUUUACAAUUGAUGAUCAAGUUAUUCUGGUGAUUUUCAAAACAAUUGCCUUAAUUUUGAAAGAAGGUUUCAACAUGGUCACCAAAUGUCUUAACACGCUAUCUUUUCUCACAUGUUUUUUCUAACUUUAGCCCUCUGAUUCAAAGUUCACGCUCAAAUUGGAUUUUAAGAUUUAGCGAAGAAUUCCGCCAGCAUAUCAUAUCACUAAAGCCAACAUAAAAAGUACUAUCUAAAGAAAAUAAAUAAAUAAUAUAUAUUUAAACACAAAGGAAAAAAGGACACUCUAUUUAGUUGAAAUAAAAGAUAGAAAAGGUUUGACCAUAAACAACAAAAUAAGAUAGAUCCCGAACUACCACCCUGAAAUAAUUCAAAUAACAGAAAAGAAAACAAAACAAACUACUAGACCUCUUCCUAGUAGGGAGAGGGGUGACUUCUCAGAUGCUCAGCUUGACAUAUUAGCCACUGAUUUGCAUAUCAGCAUGACUAAAGCUUCCACCACUGUCAGACACAUUUCCUUUAACAAAUAAAUUCUGGAUCUCCAUGCUUAACUCAUUGCCUCCCACAUAUUGUGCAGUACCGCGUGCUGGUAAAGAACUCUGUGGUAUGGUCGAGGGGCUAAUGUUUUGCACCACAAUCAAUUUAUCUUGAAUCAUCUUUUCUAUUUCUCUUUUCAAAGUACGAUAAUCUUCAAUACUAUGACCCUGAACAUCAGAAUGAUAUGCACACCAUACAUUAGGAUCAAAAUUUCUUGAAUGUGGGUCAGGUAUAUACCCAAGGAGAGGAGUAAUCAUGCCCCUAUGUCUCAAUCUCUGGAAUAAACUGGCAUAGGACUCCCCAAUAAGAGUGAAAUUAUCCUUUUCCUUCCACAUCUUUGCGAACUCUGGCCUUGGAUAAAACUUGAAUUUAGAGGUUCAUUGGUAAAUUUGUGGGGUCGAGGUCGAUGUUGAGGGACAGGUGCAUGCCAUUGCGGAUAAGAAGAAGGAUGGGUACACAAUUGUGCAUUGUUCAAAGGACAUUAAGGAAGUGGAAUGGAACUCCUUGGAUUUUGAAAAGAGGAACCUUGUUGCAGAUGAAUAAGUGGAUUUGAUAUGUAAGCUCGGGAUUGAGGCUGACAGUAUUGGUGAGUUGGACCUCUCAAACUUUACUUUGCCCAGGCACGACAAUAGGUGCGUUUUCUUUCUUCUUUUCUUCAGUUUCCCUUGAAUGAUUGCAAUAUCAUCCCAAAUGUUUCACAGAAUCAUUCUGUCCACCAAGCUCCUCAAAUUUUGAUGUCUCAAAGCUUGGAGGAAGGUUAAUAAUUAAAAACAUGCCCCAGUUUUUAUAUAAAACAUCUUCAUAGCCCAUAAGUCCAGGGGAAUUUUUCAUAUCAUUUUCUACAUUCUUAACUUUCCCAACCACUUUCUCUAGCUCUUCUGGCAUUCUAGACUUCUUAGUAAAAAAUUUUGGCAGUCCACUUAAUUUAACGGUAGGCUCAAGAGUAUAACAAUGAUCAUCAAGAGUAUUGAACGUGGAUUCACUAGUGGACUGGGGGAGCACAAUCAUUGGAUUGAUAGCCAAAGUGGAAGUCUUAGUAGAAGGUUGAGCAAUAAAAGCAUAGACGGUAUGUGGUGCUGUGAAUAUGGUAGACUUAUACUGAGGAGCUAAAGAAAGAGUGGUGGAAGUAUUGAGGCGCAUUUGACGUGGAAUGGAUUUUGAGGCAUGCUGUGGUGCAUCAACAAUAGUAAAAAACUGACUUUGCGAUUUUGGUGGAAGACUCAAGGUAUUUGCAGGGUCAAAAGUGGGGAGCAGGGGUGGAGGCAGCCCACUGGCUCAAGCUCGGUACAUUUUCAUCAUUUGUUGUCUCUGUCUCAAAUUCUCUUCCUUUAAACUCUCAAUUUCCUGAAUCUUUGUUUCAUCCAUGGUGUCACUCUCUAUAUCUUUGUUGGACACAACCAAACCUUCCUUAGAUUUGGACAACUAAACCUUCCUUGGAUUUGGUGUGAUAUGGAGGACCAGUUAGGAAGCCACAAACCAACCACCUUAAACUAACUGAACAAGAGGCAACAAAUAUGUUAGAGUUCAACCUUUUUUAAAACCUAUUUUUUUUUUUGAAAAGAUCACCGAACCCAAGAAGGACGCCUACGUAUCUCACAUCCCCAAAGAGGAGAAUCAGGUGUGCGUAGUUCGUGAAGUCUUGCCAAAAUGACCAAUUGAUUCUUUUUACUUUCUUUUUUUUUUCUUGAAACAAUUUAUCAAAAGAAUUGACGAAAAUCUUUUUGCACUUUUCAGGUUUAAACUCCCUAUACAAAAUGGAACCUAUAAUUAUCAAAGAAAAAUCUUUUGGGAUUUUCGAUUUUGAAUUUCAUAAGAAAAUGAAGCUUGAAACUAUUAAAGAGAACCCUUUUUAUACUUUUCUUUUAGAGAUGUAUAUAAUAUCUACUCUAGAUGAACAGUGAAGAGAAUCUUUUUGGAUUUCUCAAAUAAGAUCUCUGAACAAACAAUAGGCUGCCUACGUAUCUCACAUCCCGAAAGAGGAGAAUCAGGGGUGCGUAGUUCGUUCAGGUUGGACAAUUAAGGAUUAAAACGACCUAAGACUUGACUUAAGAAACGCGAUUACUGACGAACGAUGAAAAUAAAAUCUUUUUGGAUUUUCAAUUAGACACUUCACAUAAAACUGACACCAACAACUAUGAAAGAGAAAAAAAAAUCUUUUUGGUAUUUUCGUUAUAUGAGAUGUACAAAGCUCCUACCAUCUUUUUUACAUUUUUUCUUUAUAAAAGCUUCAAUUAAAAAAUCUUUUUGAAAAUUUUGAAUUAUGAAUGCAGGGUAAAGAAACAAAAGAAAAUCUUUUGAUUUUUAUUUUUUUCAGACAAUGAGUGCGAAAGGCAAAGAAAAAUCUUUUUUUUCUUUUGAAUUUUUGAAUUGUGAAAAACAAAAGUCAUAAAGAACUCUAAAAACUAUGAAACAUUUUUUAUUCAACUCACUUUUCUUUUCUUCCCUUCUUUUUUUUUUCAACACUUUCUUAUCUACAGACUUUACUUCUAACACAUGAUUUCCCCAAAUCGGUCUGUCAAAUGACCACGUUACCCUCAGAGAUGCAAUAUUUAGCACGUAGGGAUGCUUUAAAGGUGAGUUUCCUACGAAGAACCAAGUGGUCCCCGCUAGGUCUCCAUAUGAUGCACAUAAGCAUGACCUAAAGGUUGACCUACGUUAGGGUUUACUAACAAGGUUGUUCGAGAGAGCGUGUUGUCGAUAGUGGCUUGCUUUAGCUGGUCACCUACUCCAUACAACCCAACAUCUCCCCCUCUUAAACUAAGGGUGAUUCAACUAUAGGUCGUGUACACACGUGUACUAAGGACUUGUUGCAAAAAGAAAGACUCGGGUUAUGCAUAUAAUGCCAGAUAUAAAGCGAUAACACAUAGAGUAAAAACUGUAAACAAAGAGCACGUAGGCACUUAACAAUGAUAAACAAUAACACAAAACAACACAAGCAAAAUAUCUAUACACCUAUAGUUCCAAACUAAAUCGAUACAACUCCAAAAUAAGCUCCAAUUCUGAAAAGACCCAAGUAGAGUCGCCAGAGCUGUCACACCCCUUUUUUAACUCCGAAAGAUUAUAUUUUAAGGUUCGAAAGAGUUUUUACUAUUAAAAUGACAAAAUGAAGAUUUGUUUUGAAAAAAAAAGAACUUUUUACAUUCAAAACUCAGAGUCGCCACUUGACAUAAUCCGGUGUGCCAAGUCACCUUUGGAAAAUCUUUUUCAAAAUGAUUUGACUCUUUAAGACUAGUUUACGAACAGAGAUUCCGGCUAAGUAAUUCUAUUGACCGAGGGGAAGGUGUUAGGCACCCCUCGAUCCCUUGGUUCGACCACGGUCUCUUGGUGAAGCAUAUCGGCUAAUUUAACAUUACAAAUGUAUAAACCACACAAAACACAUAAAACAAUCAAUCAAACACACGAAACAAAACAAAUCCAAAAUAUAAUGUUCAGUCCAAUUAUACAGUCUAAAAAUAAAAAAAAUGCGAAAAAUAAAUCCUAUCCUAACCUACCUAACCCCGAACUAUGCUCUCGUGCUUUACCCGAUGCUCGGGCCUUCGUCACGAACGUCCUCUAAGUACAAAAUACUUCGGGGCAUUCCCCGGUAGAUAGACACAAAUCCUCUGGGCAUUCCCCAGCCAAAUGGUAUAUUUUGAUCCAAAAGCAAGAAAACCAGGACACUCAAUGCAUAUUUCAAGUAUUCGAUAUUCCACAAUUCCUAAAACUUUGCCUAUCCCUUACCGUUUUCCUACUCAUUUCAAUUUGUCACAAUUCCAACACAUUCAACAUAAUCAAUGAUCCAAAUUUAAUACGAUUUCACUUCCCCUCCUCGAACUGCAAACAAACAUCAGCAAACCAUGCAAGUAUCUGAAAAUACACUGAACUGCUUUCCAAUGUUCUUUGCCAGGAUUUUCCAUGUAUCUACUAACUGUACUGAUGGCAUAAGAUAAAUUUGAUCGGGAACACACCAUCGCAUACAUAAGAGACCCGACGGCACUAGAGUAUGAAACUUGAGACAUAUGGUCACGCUUGUCAUCUUUUUUUGGAGAUAAAGUGGCUGAGAGUUUGAAGUGAGCUGCCAAUGGAGUACUUACAGGUUUGGCAUUUUUCAUAGAACUUGUGAAGCACUUUCUCAAUAUACCUUUUCCGACUCAAAUAUAACUUACACUUUUCUCUAUCCCGCAUAAUUUCCAUGCCAAGGAUCUUCUUUACUGCUCCUAGAUUCUUCAUCUCAAACUCCUUACUGAGCUGGGCUUUGACUUUUAUUAUCUCUCUCAUAUUCUUUGCUGCAAUCAACAUAUCAUCAACAUACAAGACAAGGUACAUGAAUGAACCAUCACUUACCUUCUUGAAGUUGACACAACUAUCAUAGCUGCUCCUCUAAAACAUAUGAGAGGUCAUAAAAGAAUCAAACCUCUUAUACCACUGCCUGGGCGACUGCUUUAUGCCAUAAAGAGACUUUUUUAACAAGCAUGCAUAGUCCUCCUUUCCUGAGACUACAAAACCCUCUGGUUGCUGCAUAUAGAUGUCUUCCUCAAGUUCUCUAUGUAAGAAUGCAGUUUUGACAUCCAACUGAUCAAGCUCAAGAUCAUGCAUGUCCACAAUACCAAGCAAGGCUCGAAUCGAACUAUGCUUUACAACUGGAGAAAACACAUCUGUGAAGUCAAUACUUGAAACCUGACUGUAACUUUUAGCAACUAAUCUUGAUUUAUACCUAGCAUCUUCAACUCCCGAUGUUCCUUCUUUCUUUUUGAAUAUCCACUUACAACAGAUAGCUUUCUUAUAUUUAGGCAAUCUUACCAGAUCCCAUGUGUCAUUCUUAUGAAGUGAUUCUAUCUUCUCCUGCAUAGCAAUCAUCCAUCGGCCAGAAUCAUCACAACUAACUGUCUCUGAGUAAGAAGAAGGAUCUUCAUCGGAAUCAAUACCUUCUCUACACUCAAUGCAUAAGAACCAAAUCAGCUUCAACAUACUUCUGAGGAGGUCUAAUAUCUCUUCUAGGCCUGUCUUUAGCAAUAGAAUAUUGUGGCAUUGUUUUGCGGAGAAAUUAUGAAUUUUUGAGAGUCACCACUUAAUUUUGAAAAGGAAUUAAGAAACCUUUAGAGAGUUGCUUCAAAUGAUUCGAAGCAGAAAAAUCGUUUUAAGUUCUGAAGAUUCCGAGUAAGUGGUUCCUAUUAACGUUUUAGGAAGGUGUUAGGCACCUAAAAUGUCUGCUAACUUGCGGUUAUCCGGACUGUUUGAAAACAUCUUUUGAUUAACUUUUGAAAAGAUUAAUUUGUUGAAAUAGUGAUUUGAUUUUUAUUUUUUAAAAAAAGAUGUGUAAAAUAGAUUUAGGCGACUUAGUAGAGAUUUUAACUAAGUCUAAACAAAACUAAUAAACAAAUAAAUACAUAAAAGGGGAAGGGAGGAGAAAGUAAAGGAUUUAGGCCAUUGGGCCCAAAUCAACGAGACCUAUCCUAGUCUAGUUGGGCUUCCAACCCAUUNNNNNNNNNNNNNNNNNNNNNNNNNNNNNNNNNNNNNNNNNNNNNNNNNNNNNNNNNNAACUUUGGCUUUGAGGCCGAAAUGAAUGAAUAAAUAAAUGACUAAAUGAAUAAAUAAAAAGAAGACAAUAAUAAAAAUUGAAACUUUUCAAGUCUUUUAGUGACCUCAUCAAUGGGUUUUGACCCAUUUUCCUUCUUUGCCUAUCUUCUGGCAUCCGUACGCCAUAUAAUGGACCUUAGGUUUAAACUUCGAACUUGACUCGAAGGGGUAGACCUCAUUGGCCCAUUACAAAAUACAAGAGAAGAGGAAUCCAUUUGGCCUCGAGACAUUUUUUUGCAUGCAAAGAAAAGAUAAAGAAAUGAAUAUACGUUCAAGGCAUAAAAGUGACAUAUUUCAAAGCAAAAGAAAAUUUCAAGAACCUAUUUUUGAAUGACAAUGAUAAGCACACUUGCACAAGAAUGAGAGUCAACAAAUAAAAAAUGCAAAGCAAAAGUUUCACAAUCANNNNNNNNNNNNNNNNNNNNNNNNNNNNNNNNNNNNNNNNNNNNNNNNNNNNNNNNNNNNNNNNNNNNNNNNNNNNNNNNNNNNNNNNNNNNNNNNNNNNNNNNNNNNNNNNNNNNNNNNNNNNNNNNNNNNNNNNNNNNNNNNNNNNNNNNNNNNNNNNNNNNNNNNNNNNNNNNNNNNNNNNNNNNNNNNNNNNNNNNGCUUAAGAAAGUAAAGGGAUGAGGCAACAAGGAAAAUAUUCAUGACUUCUAAAAUUGAACAAACAUAGAUACUAAUCCAUAUAACCAAAGAAAAUAAAGGUUAACUUUUCAAGAAAGAGAAUCUUUAAAUUUCAAGUAAGGCGACAUUAAUGAAAAUUCAUACAACUAAAUUACAACCAAAAUUUUAUGAAAAAAAUGUGUAAUGACCUAUGGUUUAUAUUUCUAAGACAUCGCUGAUUCUCCUUUGAUAUUAUGAAUCAAUGAGAGACACGAAUCAAGUCUUUACACUCACAAAGAGCACAUAUAACAAUCCAAAGGGCGCAAGAAAAUUAGAAUAAAGUUUAGCAUUUUUAAAAGUGAAAUAUUUUUUACAAUCAUACUAUGCAUGACUCAAAAAUAUCUAAAUAAUUCUAUUUAGCCACAAAAAUUUGAACUUUCUCAUCAUUUUGACAAAUUUGAAAACAUGCGAAAAAGAGGAAUAAACAUCGUGGAUGAAAAAUAAAGCUAGCACUUCAUCUCUUAUAUGAAGAUUUUGGAGAUCCCUUAAAAUAAUUAACAAGUAAAUGAAAAAUUCUUGAUUUAAUCAAUUACUAUUUUUGUCAAGGCGAAACAAACAAUAGUAACUAUUUCAACAUAAAAGAAACAACUUUACAGUUAAAACAAAUAUAUCCGCCAACAAUAGAUUUAAACAAGACAUGAGUUUGUCUUUUGAGUAAAGAUCAAAACUUUAUACAUGACAAUCAAAGAAUAAAGUCAAAAGGCAAAACAAUCAAUAUUAACCAUUCUUUUUAAUAUAAAGAAAAUAAAUUUACAUGCUAAAAACAAACAUAUCUACCAACAAUGAGUUUAAACAAGACAUGGGUAUGACUUUUUAAGUAAAGAUUUAAACUUUGUUCAAGAUAAUCAAGGAAUAAGGUCAAAAGGCAAAACAAUCAAUAUUAACUAUUCUUUUCAACAUAAAGAAAACAACUUUACAUGCUAAAAAAUAAAUAUAUCCAACAACAAUGAGUUUAAACAAGCAUAAAUACAUAUUUUAAGCAAAGAUUGAAACUUUAUCCAAAAUAAUCAAAGAAUAAGUAAAAAAAAAAAAAAAGACAUAUACAACUAUUGUUAGCUCAUUUUUAUAUCAUGAACAUGAAAAUAAUUAGAAUAUCAAUACCACAACGUCCUAAGGCCUUUAAGGCCAUCUACACCAUACAAUUCCAGCAAACAAAAUUAUAUCUACGAAUUAUGAAGAAGAAAAAAGAUGAAGAAGAAAACGAUAAUAAAAACUAAAAAAAAAAUGUGUUUACCUUUUUGGGGGCAGCAAAACAAGACAAUGAGUCUCGUCGGAAUCAACCACCACCAAAAAAACGUUGCCAGCAACUUGAAAUUUUUUAUUAACUGACCAACUCUAUAAAAUAAAAAUUUUUACUAAAUAAAAAUAACUAUUUUGCCCAAAAAGGACUUUUUCACCUUUCUAGCCUCUCUUUUUUUCUUCCCCUUUCCCCCUUUUCUACCAAAGUAGUGGUAGUAUUUAUAGGAGAGAAUGAGAUUUUUUUUUCUCUCUUCCACCAAUGUGGGAGAAAAGUAUUUAUAGGAAAGGAUGAGGAUUUAUUUCUUGUCCUCCACCAAUGUGGGAGAAAAAACAAAUAAUGGUGUUUUUGGAAUUUUAAAAUUGAAGAUAAUGUGAGGGAAAAUUGUACAAUGUAGUACAACUUUUGAAUUUCAAAAUUGGAAAAAGACAAAGUUGGGAGGAAAUAGUACAAUGUAGUAAAUUUGAAAUUAUUUUUUUGUGGAAUUAGGUAGAAGUUAUGAGAGUUUUUUGGGAAUUUUGGGGUUAUUUAAAAUAUAACCCCAAUUGGGAUUUAAAAUUUAGCCAUAUUUAUUUANNNNNNNNNNNNNNNNNNNNNNNNNNNNNNNNCCAUAUUUAUUUAAUUUUGACAAAAUUACAAAUCAAUUGACGAAUUGCAUUACAAUUAUGGCCAAUUUGAUUUCAAUUAUGGUCAAAUCUAACAGAUUGACUAAAUUAAAUUAAAAUUCAAUGCGAAUUUAUACUUCCUUUAAUCCCGGGCUUCUUGAUUUUAUAAAAUCAAACACAUAUUUAUCCGAAUAAAUUAUUUUUUGAGAGUAAAUUAUAUUAAAUCAAAACUUUAAUCAUUUGAAUCUAUAAGCCUUGAUUAAAAUCCGAUAUUUUAAAAAAUAAAUAUUUAAGUAACAAAAUUAUAAAAUCUCAUAUAAUUGAAUACGAUAAAUUAUAAUCACUACUUAAAAUGACAAGAUUACGUACAAAUAUAUUUAAUAAAUUUUUAUUCGGAUGAAAUAAAUAUUUUAAUUUUAUUAAAAAUUAAAAAAAAUCAAGAUUAAAUGUAGUCGUGGAGGGAAAAAAUUAGGUGUCAACAGGCACCACUGGUGGUGAAGAAGAAAUAGUAUCACUCUAUAUCUCCAGGCUAGACUGAGAGGUAGGCACUGGUGUAGACUCUGCUCUAAUCUGCAAUUCAACAUGGGUGCUUGACUUUUGCUGAUUCAUGUUACUAAGCUCGUCCGAGGGCGAAGCACUAGAUUCGGAGAAAACACGAAGCAUGACAGUUUCAUCAAACACAACAUCCCUACUAAUUAUAACCUUUCUGCUUUUUGGACACCAAAGCUUAUAACCUUUAACACCAGGCUUAUAACCCAUAAAUAAACACUUGACAGAUCUAGGCUCCAACUCUAUUAUCAACAUGAGCAUACGGAAGACAUCCAAAUAUCCUCAAAUCAGAAUAACUAGCAGGAGUACCAGACCAUACCUCUUGUGGAGUCCUUUUAUUAAUCGCAACUGAAGGAGAGCGGUUAAUAAGAAGAUAAGCUGUGGAAGCAGUUUCGGCCCAAAAAGACUUGGGUAAACCAGAAUUUGAGAGCAUACAAUGCACCUUCUCCAUCAUAGUCCUAUUCAUUCGUUCAGCCACACCAUUCUGCUGCGGAGUAUGACGAACUGUCAAGUGUCUCACAAUUCCUUCUGACUUGCAUAGAGCAUUAAAUUCAUUAGAACAGAACUCUAAACCAUUAUCAGUCUGAAGGCAUUUUACCUGCUUCCCUAUUUGUUUUUCAAUUAUAAUCUUUCACUCCUUGAAAGUAGGCAACACAUUAUUCUUUUGCUUCAGGAAGAACACCCAAACUUUUUUGUAAUAGUCAUCAAUAAUAGCCAACAAAUAAUUUACACCUCCUCUAUAAGGUACUCUAGAAGGACCCCAGAGACCAGAAUGAAUGUAAUCAAGUAUGCCUUUAGUUGAGUGGAUGCCUUUAGUGAAUCUGACUCUCUUCUGCUUCCUAAAAACGCAAUGCUCACAGAACUCCAAUUUGGUAAUACUCUAUCCAUCAAGAAGACCUCUUCUGCUAAGUUCAGCUAUACCUCUUCUGCUAAGUUCAGCUAUCCCCUUUUCACUCAUAUGCCCCAGGCGCAUAUGCCAAAGUUUAGCAACGUCACUUUCUGAUAGAGAGGAGGUAGAAACUAUUGCAUCACCUGUAACCGUAGAGCCCUGCAAGACAUACAAAUUUGCAGACUUUCUCUGUCCCUUCAUCAUAACAAGAGCACCUUUAGUAAUUUUCAAGACUCCACCUUCACCAGUGUACCUAUAUCCAUUCGAAUUAAGGGUACUCAAGGAAAUAAGAUUUCUCUUCAGGUCCGGGACAUACCGCACAUCACCAAGUGUACUCACAACCCCAUCAAACAUCUUAAUUCUGAUUGUUCCAAUACCAUCUAUCUUGUAAGGUGUGUUAUUUCCCAUCAACAUAGCACCUUUAGAGACUGCUUCAUAUGUUAUAAACCAAUUCCGAUUGCGACACAUAUGAAACGUGCCAGCUGAAUCAAGAAUUCAAUCCUCACAGGGUUUGGAGUUACCAUCAGAAACAACUAAGAGUUCUUCAUCACUACCUUCAUCUUCAACAAAACUAUCUUCACCAGACUUUUCUGGUUGGUUUUCCUUCUAUUUUGGAGCUUCUCUUUUCUCUCUAUUCCGUAACUUCCAAUACUCGGAUUUGAUGUGACCCUACUUCUUACAGUAAUUAUAGGUUUUGUUUUUGUUUCUGGAUUUUGAUCUGUUUCUAUCAUCACCCCCAGAGUUCCUCUCACAAUUCUUUCCUCGAACAAGAAGGCCAUAUCCUUGAGUUUCUGACCCAUUCACAAGAUGUUUCAUCUUCUCCUUAGAGAACAAUGCAUCAUAGACUUCAUCUAUGGUCAGGGUAUCACGACUAUAUAAAAUUGUAUCCCUAAAGGUCAUGUAUGAUGCAGGAAGCGAACACAACAGAAUCAACCCUAAAUCUUCCUCAUCGUACUUAACCUCCAGAGUCUCUAAAUUAGAGAAUAUUUCUUUAAAGACAGAUAGGUGAUCUUCAAAAGACGCACCCUCAGAAAAACGAUAGGAAUAAAGUCUCUAUUUGAGAUGCAACUUACUUAUCAGGCUCUUCGUCAUACACAAUGAUUCCAAUUUCAACCACAAUGCAGCGGCAGUGAUCUCCUUCAAAACAUCCUGUAGAAUCUGAUUAGAUAAAUGAAGAUGGAUCUGAGAUAGAGCCUUCCAAUCCUUACGUCGUUUGUCCUCAUCCGUCCAUGAUGAGGGCAUCUUAUCAAACCCUAAUAGAGCAUCGUCCAAAUCUAUCUUCGUGAGCACAGUCCGCAUCUUAACCUGUCAUAACGAAAAUCUGGUAUUGCGAUCCAACAACGGAAUAUCAUACUUCAUGGUUGCCAUCCCCGAGAAAACAAUCAAACAAGCUUUGAUACCAGUUUGUUAUGAUUCAGACAAAAUAAGAAAACCAUAAGUAAAAGAAAACAAAAACAACACAAAGAUUUACGUGAUAACCCUUGCAGGACAAACCACGGCCAGAGGCAGAGGAGAUUUCACUAUAAUGGAAAGAGAGUACAAUGUGGAGAAGGCUGAAUUUUUUGAAUAAUAAAAUAACCCACUAAAUCGCACUUAUAUAUUACGUGCGUACAAAUAGGUCCUAGUCCCAAUAACAUUAAGGUCCAUCAACAAAAUUCGGGUCACAACUCUAACAGGGUGAGACUUUAAAUAUUGGACAUUCUUUCUCUAUUUCUCCGAUGUGGGAUUGUUAUGCUUUCCAACAAUAACUACUGUAACAUAUAUACAUGACAUGAAAAAAACUACUAAUUUCUAUGAACUCCUAGCUAACACGUGGAACUUGUUGCUUAUCGUUUAUCUAAGUUUCUUCGAUUUCUCAUCCUAUAUUUGUCACACCCCUUUUUCAACAUCCAAAAAGAUUUGUUUUAAGUUUCGAAAGGGCUUUUAUUAAAGUGACAAAAAAUAAAAAUUUUGUUUCGAAAAGGAUUAUUUAUAUUUAAACUCAGAGUUGCCACUUGGCAUAAUCUGGUGUGUCAAGUCACCGUUGAAAAUCCUUUUUCAAGAAAUAAUUUUGACUCUUUUGAACUGAUCUGUGAACAGAGAUUCUGACUAAGGAAUUCUGUUGACCAAGAGGAAGGUGUUAGGCACCCCUCGGUCACGUGGUUUGACCAUGGUCUCUUGGUGGAACAUAUCGGCUAAUUUGAUACUACGAAUGUAUAAACCACAUAAAACACGUAAAACAAUCAAACAACAAACAAAACAAAACGAGUAAAAAAUAUAAUGUCCAUUCCGAGUUAUACAGUUCAAAAUAGAAAAAAAAUGUGAGAAUAAACCCUAUCUAACCUACACUAAUCCUAACUACGCUCCCGUGCUUUACCCGAUGCCUCGGGCCUUCGUCACGAACCUCCUUUGCGUACAUGAUACGUCGGGGCAUUUCCCGAUGAAUAGAUACAAGUACCUCAGGGCAUUCCCCAGCCAAAUGAGUAUAAUUUAAUUAAAUGCAAUAAAACAAAACAAUUCCAACACAUAUUUCAAACAUUCCAACAAUCCACCAAUUCUAAAUUUUGCCUACCCGAGCCUAGUGCUUGCCUACCCGCUCGAUGACAUAUCACGUUCAACAUCAACAAUGAAUCAAAAUACUAUACUAUUCAUUUUUAUCAAUUUUCGAUUCUCAUUCCCCAAAUAAUCAAUUUUAAUCCUCCAUGAGAUAUUAUUUCAUCACACACCUUAUAAAUUAAUCCAUAAUCAAGGAAAUCAAACACCAAAUCAAAACAAACAAUAAUUCACAUCACCACAGAUUAACCAACACACCGGAUUCAAUUCAAAGCAUAGAACACGACAAAUAACAAAAUAAAGAAGAGAAGGAAGAGAAUUAGACCUCGAUUCGAAGGUUUCGAAAUUCAAUAAUGCUUCAACCAAAGGACAGAAACCAUGCCGAAGAACCUUGAAUCGAACCUCAACAAAGGACUCACCAACUCCGUACUAAAUCAACUGCAAGAAUCCCAAAAUUUGAUCCAAACACGAAUUCACAAAAGCAAACCCGCAACCCAAAGCAAAGAUCACAAAGCCCUACCAAUAGUAGCUAAUUAGCACACUCCGUUAUUGUUUUUGGUCACUUUCCGGUGGAUGGUCGCCGGAAUCAACACUGGAGGUCGGAUUUAGUGGCUUCCCAGCAUGCUCCGGUCACUGUUGUAGCGUCGCCGGAGCUCCGGUGAGCCUAAAAGUGGAGGCACUGCUCUCCUCCAUCCUGAAUCAUCUCUCGUUCGAUCUCUUUCCUCUCUAUCCCUCUCUCGCGGUUCUCUGCUCUCUCGCUCGCUCGCUCUCGCUGCUUCUCUCUCUCUUUCUCUUGCUUUUUUCUCUUCUCUCUCAAUCUUCCUCCGAUCUGUGUGUGUUGCUAUUUCAGCCAAUGGAAUGGUGAUGGGUAUCCAAAAAUGGAAAGGAAAAAUCCUCGAUGAUAAAGUUUUUGGUCUGUGUAUAUGUAUCUUGUUCGGUCGAAAAGGAAAAAAGUUGAAGACCCCUAUCUGUAUAAUAUUGUAUCUCCCUUCUUGUGAGAAUUGCAGUCGGUUCUUUUGUCUUGAGAGUGAUGGUGAGUAUCCCCUCCAGGGAAUAUGCUUCUGGGUCCUUUUAUUUACUUUGUGGACAAGAAAUAAAAAGGGGAGGUCAGUGGAGAGGGAAUGGUGAGGGUGAUGUGUCAUGUUUUAAUAGGGAGGGGUUGUUAGAAUAAGAUAAAAUUAGUUUGGAAUUGUUAUUUUUAUCUUUUUGUGAAGGGGUUAUCACAUGGGUGAGGGCACACACUAAGACGAGAGUAAAAUGGUAAGAAUGCUUUCGGGGAGGGACAAAAUUAUGUGUCUACAAUAUUCGUUAUCCGUAUUGAAAUCCGACAAAAUACAAAUUAAUAUCAUUGUGGCUAAAGAAGAUCCACGUAGAAAAUGUGAAACUAUAACCAAAAAUAAAAUAAAAAAGAAUAAUAUAUACAGUGUGAAAUUUGAACCUAUUAAUAGUUGCAAUUUUGGUGUGUGUAUAUUUAUAUACGUGUCCUUUUUUCAUUUCUUUUCCAUCUGCAGUAAGCCAACCAAGUUGCUGCUGACAAGAUGACCAGGGGUCUAAUGAAUACUUACUAUAGUUGACACUCAAGUCUACAAGAGAAUGCACGGUGUACUCACCACCUUGAAAUACUAGCUUUAUCGAACUUCGGAGCCUAAAAGAUAAAUUUUUUUUUUUAUUCUAAUAUUUCAAAGAGACAUAUGAAAACGAAAAAUAAAAACUCAAAAACGAACAAGGUAAACAUAGGUAUUUACCUUAUCCAUUAAAAGUUAACGACAUCUGUUUCAUGAUAAAGUGUUAGGUAAAAUCAUAAUUUACCUUACAAGGUAAAUGAAAUUAUUUACUUUAUUCUUUAUUGAUAAAGUAUAAGAUAAAAUCAUGAUUUUAAGUUGAGUCAAUUACCUUAUUUUUUGACUGAAAAAGCAGAAAAUAAAUUCUCCAAAGAAGGAGUGUCAACAAUAUGAGACUUAUUGCUGACAAGGAAGGGAAUAAAUUUCUUUUGUUGGCUGAUUGUAAAUGGAAGAUAGAAUGUCGGUAUAGAAACCAACGUGUGUAUAGACUCUUCAUUAAUAUUUUCAUCAUUAUUAUCCUCCUCCUCAUCAUCAGAUAAGAUUGAUCAUUUGACGAUUUAUAUUAUAAAGGUUCAUCACUAUCCAACUCCACUUAUACGUCGUCUUUGUUGUUCACAAUUUCUGUGAAUUGAGUGAGUGUACCUCUAGAAUCAUUAAAUCGACAAAAUGGAUAAAUCAUCUCUUUAACUAUAGGAAAAAGACAACUUAAUUAAAUGAAAUGAAUUGUUUAUUAUCUAUCAAUUUCCUCCAUCGAAGAAGGAUAUUGUGGACCACUUGAAUUAAUUUUUUUCAAAUUCAUAGACGCAUUCUUAGGUCUUCCCAUAUCGAAAUUAUUUACAAGUCCAGGUGAGUUUUGAUAAUAUGUUUCAACCCACCAUCAAAUUCGAAGAAUUUUGACUUACUCGAAGAUCAAACUUACUAUUCGUCGAUUCUUCAACAAUAAGGGAAUGUUCAACAAAUGCAUAUAUGUCAAACGUUUGUAGAUUAAGGUGAUUACCAAAAGUUUUAAGGGUACCAAAAAAUAAAGAUAAAGCAUCAUCAUUUCAAAUUGGAGUUUCACCAAAUAUUGAUCAUCCGUUGAACGUAAAAUAAUUAGAAUAUCGAUAAAAAAUAACCACAUCAUCUUCCGAAUUAGUAAUACUCAUUUUACUCCUAAAUAAUGUUUUCAAACAAUCAUAUUUGAGAGAUAAAGGAAACGAUUGAACCACUAUAGAAUGUCGACUAUAUCGCACGAAAUCCCCAUCAUGCAAAACUUCACCACCUCAAUGUAAAUUUACUCUUACAUUAUUAUCACCCAUUAACAAUUUUUUUUUUUUUUUGAAUUGAUGCAAAUGAAAGAAACCUACACUUACACUCUUUAUAUAGCACUGCUAAUUUUGAAGCUGUUGCGAGGCAAACAUGAAAUUCUACCUUAUAAGGUGAAUAUGAGAUCCUGCCUUACAAGAUAAGAGUCCAUACUUGACUUACAAUUAGCCCCUCCCUAAUUAUCAACGAUAAGUUUCAUCAUCAGACACUCCUUCUUUAGGAAAAUUUAUUUCCUAUUUUUUCAGUCAAACAAUAAGGUAAGUGACUCCAUUUAUCUUGUAAGGUAAAAUCACCAUUUUAUCUUGUACUUUUUCAACAAAGAAUAAAGUAAGUGAUCUCCAUUUACCCUGUAAGGUAAAAUCACGAUUUUAUCUUACACUUUAUCAUGAACGUCGUUAACUUUUAAUGAACAAGGUAAAUAUAGGUGUUUACCUUAUCCGUUUUGAAAUUUUUUUCAUUUUCAUAAUGGCCAUUUAAAAUUUUGAAUAAAAAAACUUACCCUUUAGACUCUGUACUCAGCUUUAUUGCCACUUUGCGUAUAUAUUUACAGUGGCGGAGUAAAUAUUUUACUAAGAGGGUUCAAAAUCGAAAAUGUGAAUACAAGAACUAGUUGAAGGGAUUCAACGUCCCCUAUAUACAUAAAAUUAAUUUUAAACUGAUAUAAAUAAUACUCAUAAUUUUCCACUAAAAAAAUAUGAACCCCUCACUAUUAGCUAGCCUCGCCACUUCAUAUCUAAAUCUCGUUUUUGCUCAAUUGAUAGUUUGGCUGGCCCAGACUACCAAUGAACUCAACAAAGCAAGGGAAAGACGUCCUUCAAAUCCAGAAACAUUGUUAUCACCUGUACUUUAAAAUAAGAGAAAAUACAUGGUUUUCCUCCUAAAAUUGCAACGAAAAUUUACUUUAGCCAUUAAACUUAAUCUAUAAUUAUUUAUCCCCCUAAACAAUUUUUAUAUGAAUUUUUUACCACCCUAAAAAAAUUAUACCACUCUCACUAUGGAGAGAGAUCACACUCGUGCCACGUUGGAGCCAUCUCGUAGCCACGUCGGAUCCACGUCAAUGCCACAUAAAUAAAUUAUUUUUAUAUAUAUAUAUAUAAUUUUUAAAAUUUUCAACUCCUUUUUCUUCUCUUUCUCUCCCGUGCCUUCUCCGGUAGCCACCACCACCGGACUCCGGCGAAUUUAGCCUCCUCACGUACAACCUUCUCCCUUUCUCCACUUUUCCGCCACUGCUUCGCCAGAGGCGAUGGCCAGCGAAGCUCCUAGUGGUUGGUCGGAAUUCGGAAGAGGUCAAAUGCUACGGCGGCUCCCCAUAAUUUCAUAUAUGCAAGUCAAACGAAGUGGUAGUUAAAGGGCAUACCGAUAAUUGUAUUCUUAAAUCUACAAAAAUCCUAUAAAUCUCUCAAAAUAUCUUGUGUUUGGUGGUUUUUUUAUCUUACAAUUUCUUUAGGUUUUGAUUUUUGUUUACUAUUUUCUUUCCUUUUCAAUACUUAAAAGUUGGUAACUUUAUUUUGUUCUGUUCACCGUAAUUUCAUUUGUUAGUUCAUUGGUUGCUUAAUUUUAAUUUAAAGUUUCCUUUCUAAUAUUUUGAAUCUUCCUUACAUUAUUGUCUACUAAUAAAGGUUUAGUUAUAUGCUUAUGUUGUCAUUAUCUGUUUGUUCAUGUGUUUUUUGGAUCAGCUGCUUUUUCUUUGUGAAUACUAAGAAAUUUAAGUUAGUAAAGUUGAUUACAUUAUGCGGUCAAAAUAGUAUUUUUGGUGUUGAUAAUUUUCAAUUUGAUUUGUGUUUUUCUUGUUUAGUGUUGUUUGAAAGGAAAAGACAUGGUGGGGUGUGAGGAAGAAGAAGAAAUGGGGGUGGUGAGGUGUGAGGAAGAAGGAAAAAAAAUAAUAGUUAAAAAUAUUAAAGUGGGCUCCACUUAAAUUUUUUUUUUAUACUUUUUUUCCACUAAAAUGUAUUUUUUUUGUCAUAUCAGCCGUUAAGGAAGCAAAAUAAUACAUUUUAAAAUUUAUAAAGGGAUAAAUAAUUACAAAUUAAGUUUAAUGGCAAAAUUGAAUUUUCAUUGGAGGGGAAAAACAUGUCUUUUCUCCUAAAAUAAGAAAAAAAUUCAAAUGCAUCAUUAUGUUCAUAUGUUGGGGGUUAGGCAUACCUUACAAAGUGUUCGACUUUUAACAUAGUGGUGACUUUCAUAAAAGAAGAGUGGUAGUGGGUGAAAAGCAUCAACAGAGAUUUCACAUCUAGAUAGAAGUCCGUGCAGGUGUGCAUGCGGAUUUCAAUAAAUAUAUCGUGCAGAUUGAGCAGAGCUACAUGUAUGUUAGAGGUUCAUUCAAAAUUUUUUUGAUGAAAGAUUAUAUAUAUAUAUAUAUAUGUGGUUAAAAUUAUUUUUUAUGUAUAUAUAGUCGAUGUCGAACCUCCUUCGAUUAGUUCAUAUGUUCACUUGUAAACCUUUUAGGUGAAAAUCCUUACUCCGCCACUAGUGCAGACAUGUACUUUAACGCCUAUAAAUAAAUAAAUAAUAUUAUGUAAGCGUGCACUUUUAUUCUAUAUGAAUGCAAUGCAUGAUAUUCAGGCGUGCAACUCCGAUUCCAAAUCAAUCAUAAAGUUAAGCAGAGUGCUUCAUGUCUUAAGGUAGAUCAUAUAUCGAUUUCAAAAUCAACUCACUUAUCAAGUGGGUGUAUACUCAUUAACUAGCUAGCAUUUUCAACAAUUUAUUUGUCAUAGCAGCUCAACCCAUCGUGCUAGCAAAUGAAAAAGAUAAUUCAAAAGCACAAUACAUAAACAUGUCCUUUAACUUGGCCUCAGAUCACAUUCAUGACCUUUAACUUUGGAUUUGCAUACGUAGACACUUAAACUUGUAUAAAGUUAAACAAGUAGACACAUAUGUCAUAUGUGGCGUCCUACAUGAUGUCCUGUGUGUAUUAUGCCACGUAGGACAUGUGUUUUUACUUAUUCAAUUUUAUCUAAGUUUAAGUGACAACUUAUGCAAUCCCAAAGUUGGAGGUCAUAUAUGUGAUUUGAAGGCAAGUUAAAAGGUAUAUUUAUGUAUUAUGCCUAGUUCAAAACGUACAAUUGAGUUAUUUUAAAUCCUCAAAUAAUAUUGGUACCUACAUAGAUGCUCACCACUUAAUCUAUAUGGGAUCCCCAUUUUCCAUUACUCCCAUUACACAUAACUAAUACAUAGGCAUUUCGAAAAAGAAUUUAAGCAAGUCUCAAUGUGCCUCGAAUUGAAGUUCAAGCGUCAAAUUUUAAACUUGCCCUUUCUUAUGGCUUUCGAAUGGUCAAAAUCUAUUUAAAUAUAUAUAUUCUUCAUUAAAACACGAAUCUAAUGAUUCUCAUAUUGCUAUAUUUAUUUUGGCUCAAAAGCAUAUUUAAAUCUCAAUUUCAACAAAUUUCAAAUAUAGAACUAACUCUUAACCAUCUAUAUCAAUAUAUCUCAAUAUCCCCAUAAAAACUUUAUUAGAUAAUGUCACAUCUAAUAUGCCAAAACCAUAUCCAACAAUGAAUUUUCAAUUCAAAUCCUAUAAGAAUAAUUGAAACGGUAAUUUUUAAUUGUCAAACUCUACACUUAAACCUCAAUUUCUCAAUCUAUUUGAAUCUCCUAUUCACAAUAUGAUCAUAUAAUCACCUACUGUUUCCAACGUUAGUGACAAAAAAUAAUUAUAGUUUAACCAUAGUGUCCUUAUUGUCCCAACUUGCUGAUAUUAUUAUUGAUAUGAUAAACCUUUUCCAUUAAAAUUCAUUCUUAUAUUAGCCACAUUAUUAACUAAAUUGUGAUUUUGACUCAUUAAAUCACUAAUUAAACUAAACUUCCAAUAAAUUCUCGAAAUUUGUUGAAACCCAUAAAAAUAAAUCAAAUAUAUAAAAUUACUAAAAAAAAGUAACAUUCUCAACCAAUUGAAAUAUUAAAACACCAAUUUAAAGCUGUCUUGAUAGAAGGUUGAUUGACUUAGCUUUGUUAGAACUCAAGAACUCAAGUAAUGACAAUCGCUUUUUGGCACUCAAAAUUGACACUACCUAAUCCCCCAAGUCAUACUACUACACUAAAUUAGUAAAAUUUGAUAUAAAUGCUGGAUGUUGAUAGUUUUAAUGCACUGCUUUUCAAUGUUACACGAUUCUUGAGUACUAUCAAUACUAGAAAACACAAAAUCAUAUUUAUUCUCUGACUUCUUCCUUUGAUACACAAAACAUAAGAAACAAGACACACCUCAGCUGACCCCAAUUCUCAUUUUCUUGACAAAAAAUUUCAUAAAACAGAUAUGCCAGAAACAAGAAAUCUCCAUCUCAAUUCUUGUUCAAUGUGUUGCCAAUGUCUAGCACAAAACGGUACUUCACAUCCGAUUUCAAAAGGCGCUCCAACGCUAUAUUCACAUAGUCCAUUGGCACGAUUUCUACAUCUGGUGUUAUGUUAUGCUUUGCCGCGAAAUCUACCAUCUCUUGAGUCUCUUUCAUCCCUCCUAUGCCACUUCCAGCCACUAGUUUCCUUCCUGUUUUCCAUAUUGUAUAUACUUUAGUCUAAAAAAGGCAACUCAGUGCACUAAGUUCCUACUAUGCGCGGAGUCCCAGGAAAAGCCACAUUACAUAUACUUUAGUCUGAACUUUUUUAUUUGAAAUCGUACAUAAAGAAAACUAUAUAUGCUUACCCAUAAGUAGAGGAAACACGGGCAACUCCACUGGUUUUUCUGGUGCACCAACCAUAACAAGCUUACCAUUAGAUUUCAAUAACAUAAGCAAUGGAAGAAUAGGGUGCACUGCCGAUACAGUGUCGAUGAUCCCGUCCAAUGUGUUCACUGCAUCCUGUUCAUAUUAAUAGAUGAAAGGUUAGCCUCCGUUCGCGUUUGACAAGUUGAAUUCAAAAGGCUCAACGCCACCAUUAUCAAAAAAACAAAAGGAGAAAUUUCACGUGUUUGGCUCAUGGAAAAAAGAGAAUCAGGGCCGCCACACGAGGUGGUGGCUUGUUGAAGACACGGUUAAUUAAAUAAAAGUAUUUGUCAAACAAUUAAAACUUUUAGACGAGAUGGUCACAUAGCUAUUAUGCCCAAGUUAUAUUCACCUGCAUUUGCUCAGAAUCACGGCUGAUCAAGAAAGAGUCUGCGCCCAAACACUCAAUUGCUUCUUGUUUCUUGCUAGCAGAUGUACUAAUGACGGUCACUUUGGUUCCGAAUGCCUUAGCAAACUUAACAGCCAUAUGUCCGAGUCCUCCAAGACCAACAACACCAAUGUGCAUUCCAGGCUUAUCGAGUCCAAAAUAUUUCAAAGGACUAUAAGUAGUAAUUCCAGCACAUAACAGGGGAGCAGCAUCCAUCGACAAGUUCUCAGGCCAAUGUACUACAAAAUGCUCAUCACAUACCAUGAUGUCGGAGUAACCUCCGAAUGUCAGGGUUCCAUCUGAGUUAUAGCUGUUGUAUGUCCAAGUGGGACGACG